GAUAAACGCUGGCGGCGCACAUAAGACAUGCAAGUCGAACGGAAGUCGUUAUAAAAAGGAUUGAAGAUUUAUCUGAUUGAGAUUUUAUAACAAUGGCUUUAGUGGCGGACUGGUGAGUAACGCGUGAGUAACCUGCCUACUAGAGGGGAAUAACAGUGAGAAAUCAUUGCUAAUACCGCAUAUGCCAUGAACAUCACAUGAUGAAAAUGGGAAAAGAGUAAUCUGCUAGUAGAUGGGCUCGCGUCUGAUUAGCUAGUUGGCGGGGUAAAUGCCCACCAAGGCUAUGAUCAGUAGCUGGUUUGAGAGGAUGAUCAGCCACAAUGGGACUGAGACACGGCCCACU
rnacentral:rRNA from 1 species